AUGUGGGAGCACUUCCCGCCCCGGGCCUCCGCCGGGAGCCGCGGCCCCGCGCCGCCCUACCACCACCACCACCACCAGCAGCAGCAGCAGCAGCAUGUCGCGCCGCCCGACUACCAGCAGCAGCACGUCGCGCCGCCCGACUGCCAGCAGCAGCAUGCCGCGCCGCACGGCGACCCCGACCCGCUCGCCUCCGCCUGGAUCCGCCGCCUCCACCUCGCCCCGAGCCCGCCGCCGCCGCGCGCCAGCCUCGCGCCCCCGCCGUCCCACGACCACGACGCCGUCUCCGCCCGCAGCGCCGGGUUCGGCCCCUUCCGCUGGAGCCCGCGCCCGCCGGUCGGCGCCCCUGCCCCAUGUGGCGGUGGGGGCGCCCCGCCGAUGAUGUCGCCGUUCUUCCGCUCCCCGCCUCAGCCGCUCCCGGCGCUCGCGGGUGUCGGGGAGUUCCCGCCCGUCAGGCCCACCAUCGGGUUCGGCAGCGGGUUCCCCGUGUCGCCGUCGCCGACGGUGCUUGGUGUCAACCCUCACGCAUCUUGGUUACCGACGGCAGCUGCAGGUUCAGCUUAUCCUAACCAUGAUGUGGACAUGGUUCCCAUAAGAACUUCUCAUGAUCUCCAUGUUAGACAACACAGCAUGAUCCCACAAAAUUUUGCAAGGCGCACCCCUAGUUCCAGCAGCGAACACGACAAGCCUUUCUCCUAUUGGAACAUGGGGAGGUUCCAGAGAAGCACCACGACUUCGUCGAUCUCUCAGGUUGCUGUUGAGCCUGGUAAUUUUGUGAAGAAGAGGAACGCUGACUCAAACAGUGUGCUCCCUCUCAAGUUCAGAAAGCUGAGUGGGGCUGGAUAA
rnacentral:rRNA from 1 species